AUGUGAUGAGUGCACUAGGCUCAGAGGAUCAUUAGUGGAGGAGAAUGCAAAGAUAAGUCACUAGGCCCUCUUGCCCAUCAGGAUCAUAUAGAGUCUCUGUUUGCAACAACAAAGGAUAGCUGAGAAACAACAAAACGUGCCCCUGUGUCCAUUCACGUAAACACAAUCUCUCUUCUCUUGGUUGCAGGGAUCUGUCUUUGCUUCUUGCUUCUGUAGGAGGACUAAGUUAAGGCAUGGGCAGUAGGAGCAAAGACAAACGUGUUCUUAGCAGACCAUGGCUAAAGCGGGCGUUGAAGGAAACACCACAAGAGGAAAGAGGAUGAGCCCGAUUUAUUAACUUCCUCACGAUAGGUAUAUGAGAUGAAGUCAGCCCUCAGCCAGGCUCUGCCUUGGAGGACUCUGCAAGGAAAGGGGUCACUUUACCUGUUUUGACCCCACUGGGUGGACUCCCUCUCUUGGGUGCAAUAACUUGGAUAGAUUGGGCCUCACCUUCAGACCUCAGUUACUCCACAGGAGCAUCUAGACAGCCAGGACCCUUCGUGUCCCAACCCAACGGUGAGUCCAACUCGUGUGCUCUGGAUUUGCGUUCAUCCAUAGCACAGUAGAUUUGAUGGUUAUUUUUCCUG
rnacentral:lncRNA from 13 species